rnacentral:rRNA from 1 species
UACGUAUGGAGCAAGCGUUAUCCGGAUUUACUGGGUGUAAGGGGAGCGCAGGCGGCUUUGCAAGUCUGAUGUGAAAGGCCGGGGCUCAACCCCGGGACUGCAUUGGAAACUGUAAAGCUAGAGUGCCGGAGAGGUAAGCGGAAUUCCUAGUGUAGCGGUGAAAUGCGUAGAUAUUAGGAGGAACACCAGUGGCGAAGGCGGCUUACUGGACGGCAACUGACGCUGAGGCUCGAAAGCGUGGGGAGCAAACAGG